rnacentral:rRNA from 1 species
GGGGAAUAUUGGACAAUGGGCGGAAGCCUGAUCCAGCAAUACCGCGUGUGUGAAGAAGGCCUUAGGGUUGUAAAGCACUUUCACUGGGGAGGAAUACCUCAAGGCUAAUACCUUUGAGAUUGACAUUACCUAGAGAAGAAGCACCGGCUAACUCCGUGCCAGCAGCCGCGGUAAUACGGAGGGUGCGAGCGUUAAUCGGAAUUACUGGGCGUAAAGCGUGCGUAGGCGGUUGUUUAAGUCAGAUGUGAAAGCCCUGGGCUCAACCUGGGAACUGCAUUUGAGACUGGACAGCUAGAGUUGAGUAGAGGUAAGUGGAAUUUCAGGUGUAGCGGUGAAAUGCGUAGAGAUCUGAAGGAACACCAGUGGCGAAGGCGACUUACUGGACUCAAACUGACGCUGAGGUACGAAAGCGUGGGUAGCAAAC